rnacentral:rRNA from 1 species
GAUGAACGCUGGCGGCGUGCCUAAUACAUGCAAGUCGAGCGAACAGAUGAGGAGCUUGCUCCUCUGACGUUAGCGGCGGACGGGUGAGUAACACGUGGAUAACCUACCUAUAAGACUGGGAUAACUUCGGGAAACCGGAGCUAAUACCGGAUAAUAUAUUGAACCGCAUGGUUCAAUAGUGAAAGACGGUUUUGCUGUCACUUAUAGAUGGAUCCGCGCCGCAUUAGCUAGUUGGUAAGGUAACGGCUUACCAAGGCAACGAUGCGUAGCCGACCUGAGAGGGGGAUCAGCCACACUGGAACUGAGACACGGUCCAGACUCCUACGGGAGGCAGCAGUAGGGAAUCUUCCGCAAUGGGCGAAAGCCUGACGGAGCAACGCCGCGUGAGUGAUGAAGGUCUUCGGAUCGUAAAACUCUGUUAUUAGGGAAGAACAAAUGUGUAAGUAACUAUGCACGUCUUGACGGUACCUAAUCAGAAAGCCACGGCUAACUACGUG